rnacentral:snRNA from 1 species
AAGCGCUGAGCCGCGCACGUCUCUCAUAUCUCUUUCGCCUUUUACUAAAGAGAUCAGCGAACGCGGCUCACCAAAGGCGCAUAUUUCCAAUAUUUGCAAGGUCUUUUGGCCUUC